CAUGUGAAUGAUUUGUGCUGCUGCUGCUGUUAUCGUGAUGCUCGCGAUGACAGGGCCUGUGGUCGCGGAGGCCAUGUUCGUGAACAGGGAAGAGAUCCCUGUGUACCCGCUGUACAGAGAUCCUGUACAUGAUUUUGGUUUUUUUCGCUAUGAUCCAGGUGCCAUUAAGUUUCUUAAGUAUGAUGAGAUUCAGCUGGCACCUGAAGCAGCAUCAGUCGGGCUAGAAAUCUGGGUUGUCGGAAAUGACAACGGGAAAAAUGUUCCAUGA